rnacentral:rRNA from 1 species
GACGAACGCUGGCGGCGUGCUUAACACAUGCAAGUCGAACGAAACACCCCGGAAAGAGACUUCGGUCAAUGGACGGGAUUGUUGAGUGGCGGACUGGUGAGUAACGCGUGAGGAACCUGCCUUUCAGAGGGGGACAACAGUUGGAAACGACUGCUAAUACCGCAUGACAUGUAACCGGGGCAUCCCGGAUACAUCAAAGAUUUAUCGCUGAAAGAUGGCCUCGCGUCCGAUUAGCUAGUAGGUGAGGUAAUGGCCCACCCAGGCAACGAUCGGUAGCCGGACUGAGAGGUUGACCGGCCACAUUGGGACUGAGAUACGGCCCAGACUCCUACGGGAGGCAGCAGUGGGGAAUAUUGGGCAAUGGACGCAAGUCUGACCCAGCAACGCCGCGUGAAGGAAGAAGGCUUUCGGGUUGUAAACUUCUUUGACAGGGGAAGAGUAGAAGACGGUACCCUGAAAACAAGCCACGGCUAACUACGUG